rnacentral:rRNA from 1 species
AUUGAACGCUGGCGGCAUGCUUUACACAUGCAAGUCGAACGGUAACAGGUUAAGCUGACGAGUGGCGAACGGGUGAGUAAUGCAUCGGAACGUGCCCGGUCGUGGGGGAUAACGCAGCGAAAGCUGCGCUAAUACCGCAUACGAUCUGAGGAUGAAAGCGGGGGACCGUAAGGCCUCGCGCGAUCGGAGCGGCCGAUGUCAGAUUAGGUAGUUGGUGGGGUAAAGGCUCACCAAGCCGACGAUCUGUAGCUGGUCUGAGAGGACGACCAGCCACACUGGGACUGAGACACGGCCCAGACUCCUACGGGAGGCAGCAGUGGGGAAUUUUGGACAAUGGGCGCAAGCCUGAUCCAGCAAUGCCGCGUGCAGGAAGAAGGCCUUCGGGUUGUAUACUGCUUUUGUACGGAGCGAAAAGGCUCUCUCUAAUACAGGGGGCUCAUGACGGUACCGUAAGAAUAAGCACCGGCUAACUACGUGCCAGCCGCCGCCGCGGUAA